rnacentral:lncRNA from 1 species
CUUUCAACUCAUUUCAACCAAAUAAAAUCGAUUCAUAUAAUUCGAGUAAUCAACAUGGCUUAUGAAUUUCUUAAAACUUUGGCUCGUGCCAAAAUCAUCUUUAUACCCAGCUAUCAGGGAUGCCUUGAUCGAGGGCUAUCCCAACCGAGUCCGCCAAGGCUGAUAAAAAGUUAUGUACGCAUAAAUCAUGUUUUUAUUUUGAAAAUAUAGUUGUUCCUUGGCGUUGGCUGAGUUCCCCUCACGUGGUGGUUGGGUGUGAAAUGAACUCUAAAGUUUGACCUCGGGAGUUACCCUACGCGCCUCUCCAAUCAAGGUACAUAUAUAUGACCAGGUU